rnacentral:pre_miRNA from 1 species
CUUCUCGUGGCCGGGCCGAGCAGCUUCUGCCAGAGUGUGGCCGCGGAUUUUGCGUCUGUGGUUGUAGUGGUGGCACCAUACUGGUACAAAGUGAACUGCGCGGUUACUCUCUCUCAGAAGCUGCUCCGCCAUGGCAAGAUCAG